UACGUAGGGGGCAAGCGUUGUCCGGAAUCAUUGGGCGUAAAGAGCGUGUAGGCGGCAAGGUAUGUCGGGUGUGAAAUCCCUCGGCCUAACCGAGGAAUUGCGCCCGAAACUACCGUGCUUGAGGAUGGAAGGGGAGCGUGGAAUUCCUGGUGGAGCGGUGAAAUGCGUUGAUAUCAGGAGGAACACCGGCGGCGAAGGCGACGCUCUGGUCCAUUACUGACGCUGAGGUGCGAAAGCCAGGGGAGCAAACGGG
rnacentral:rRNA from 1 species